CCUGGUUUCCUUAUCAUGGUACUAAACUAAGGAUAUCUUCUUUCCAACAAAAAAAGAAUUAUCAAAAUCCAGUAGAAAGUUAUGCGGUAUAAAUACAACGUAGGUCGACGAAAAAAGCGUCAAGUAAAAACGCAUUAUUAGAUAUAGCUCGAAAAGUAGCCGUUAGAUCUCAAAUAAAUUUAAAUGGGACCAAUUGGCACAC
rnacentral:misc_RNA from 1 species